CCUACGGGAGGCAGCAGUGAGGAAUAUUGGUCAAUGGGCGCGAGCCUGAACCAGCCAAGUCGCGUGAAGGAUGACUGCCCUACGGGUUGUAAACUUCUUUUAUAAGGGAAUAAAGUGAGGCACGUGUGCCUUUUUGUAUGUAUUUUAUGCAUAAGGAUCGGCUAACUCCGUGCCAGCAGCCGCGGUAAUACGGAGGAUCCGAGUGUUAUCCGGAUGUAUAGGGGUUAAAGGAAGCGUAGAUGGGUGGUUAAGUCAGUGGGGAAAGUUUGCGGCUCAACCGUAAAAUUGCCAGUGAUACUGGCAGCGUUGAGUACAGAUGAGGUAGGCGGAAUUCGUGGUGGAGCGGUGAAAUGCUUAG
rnacentral:rRNA from 1 species